rnacentral:rRNA from 1 species
AUUGAACGCUGGCGGCAGGCCUAACACAUGCAAGUCGAACGGUAACAGGAAGAAGCUUGCUUCUUUGCUGACGAGUGGCGGACGGGUGAGUAAUGUCUGGGAAACUGCCUGAUGGAGGGGGAUAACUACUGGAAACGGUAGCUAAUACCUCAUAACGUCGCAAGACCAAAGAGGGGGACCUUCGGGCCUCUUGCCAUCGGAUGUGCCCAGAUGGGAUUAGCUAGUAGGUGGGGUAACGUCUCACCUAGGCGACGAUCCCUAGCUGGUCUGAGAGGAUGACCAGACACACUGGAACUGAGACACGGUCCAGACUCCUAAGGGAGGCAGCAGUGGGGAAUAUUGCACAAUGGGCGCAAGCAUGAUGCAGCCAUGCCGCGUGUAUGAAGAAGGCCUUCGGGUUGUAAAGUACGUUCAGCGGGGAGGAAGGGAGUAAAGUUAAUACCUUUGCUCAUUGACGUUACCCGCAGAAGAAGCACCGGCUAACUACGUG